GCGACAGCUCCCUCUCCCUUUGCUCUCUACGAUCUCCGGCCACCGAUCACAGUCUCCAGCGAUCGGACCUUCUUUCUUCAUCUUCUCGAUGAGAGGAGUUAGUUGGUGGCGUUGUUUUGCAGAAAAGAGGCCAAAAUCGCGAAGAACGCGACUGGGGCUGAGUGUCGCGCGGUACUGGCGAUCAACGCCGUUUGCGAUGGCUGCAACUUGAAGAAGCAGCGUCGAUCGUCUCACCUCCUCCAUGUGAGCCUCUUGCCGCCGUUGAAUCAAGCGUCUGAUGGAAAAUGGUGAAACCACCAUUAAUGGCACCAAGCUGCUGUCGAACCCGAUCCGGCCAAUCAAGAACCGAUCUCACUAAAUUAACACUAGAAAUGGAAUCCUUGGUGAAUUUUGAGUCGAAUGGUGUGAUUGUUGCAAAAUUCUGGGCAAGCAUGAUUUUUCGGCCAAUGUGCACAGCGGCGGUCCGGCGAGACUCCGGCGAAACUCCGGCAAGGACUCGAGAGGCAGAAUGAUCCCCGCGCGGAUCACGGAAAUCAAAUCCGAAUUUCCAUCGGUACAUUGUAAGGCUUAGUUGUCCAUUUUUCGGUAUAAAAUUUACAACUUGACUUAAUUAAUUAAUUGGAUAUAAGAUUAAUUGAAUUAUUAAAAUUGGAGAUUUAUGAAAUUAAAUUGCAAUUUUUGAAUAAAUCCCGAAUUAAUUAAUUAAUUAACGAAUUAAUCGAGUAAUUAAGUGAAUUAUAUUGAAUAUUAUUAAAAGUAACUACAGUAUUGAUAUUGAAAUAUGAAUUUUAACUAAUAAUUAUAUAUGUUAAUUUUCGGGAUUUUAGGAAGUAUAAAUAGGAAAAAUUAUUAAAUAAUUAAUGAUAUUACGAAAAUUAAAAAUUUAUUGGUGAUAGAAUUUUCAAGUGCCUACGUAUGAUGGAUGACUAAUAAGUGAUAAUUAUGGUGGACGGGAUCGGUUAAUGUAAAUUGCCCGAUGGAUGGGCUGUGUGUUGAUAUGUGAUAGAUGUAAAAAUUUGGCUAGUCCAGUUUAUAGAGGAAAUGCUGCCGAAUUUUCAGUAAAGCAUUAAAUGGAGAAUUAAAUUAAUCAUAUUCUUAAUAAAUAGUGACGACUAAAAUUUUAGGUAUUAAGAAAUAUUAUACAAUAUUAUAAUUAUCAUUAUACAAUAUUCCUCAUCGAAUAACUAGAGAUUUUAUUUAGAGGUUAUAAAUUAGAAUAGUUAUAUAAAUGAGAAAACCCAGAUAUAUAUGCAUAUUAACAAGUGAAUUAAAUGACCGGUAACCAAAAUAAAUAAACGAAUGUGAGAUAUAAGUUUUUGAAUUAAAAUUCUUAUUUAGAAUUUUCUUGUUUAUUUUAAAGGUUUAUAAAAUACCAAAAUCCGAGGACAAGAGCUGGAAGCAUGUGGCUAAAAAGGCAGUCCUUUUUAAAGGACAAUAAAGAACUGUGAGUAGUGUUAGAUAACUAAUAUCAUCCGCCUGCAUUCAUGCAUUCACAGCUAAAUGUUAUCAUGCAUUAUUGCCAUAUUGUGAUGCAAUUAUGAUGCACUAUUUGUUGAUAUUAAAAAUUAUUUGAUUACUCGUGCUAUGAACAUACUAUGCCUUGUUUGUGUGGAAUUGGGAUUAAGUGGACCACCAUGGGUUUGUGAGGACGGUCUAUGUGAUAUGGAUCCUGAAUAUGAUAUGAUAUGGAAUUUGACCGUUAGCCGGGUAAAUGGGAGAUCGGCGCCGCUGUGUGCACUGAUGAUAUGGAUUAUAUGGAAAACCACGUGAUGACCUCUUGUUGUUGCGCACCUAAUAAUCUAGAUUUGAUUGUAGUCCGCAAGGUGGCCUCCUGUUGUGAACACUUGAUGAUCUAGAUUGGAUGGAGACCACCGGGUUGCCUCCUGUUGGUAU
rnacentral:lncRNA from 1 species